rnacentral:rRNA from 1 species
GGAUCCAGACUUUGAUUAUGGCUCAGGAUGAACGCUAGCUACAGGCUUAACACAUGCAAGUCGCGGGGCAGCAUGUCGGUUGCUUGCAACCGAUGAUGGCGACCGGCGCACGGGUGAGUAACGCGUAUCCAACCUGCCCUUCACCACGGAAUAAUCCAGUGAAAAUUGGUCCAAUACCGUAUGAGGUCAUACGAUGGCAUCAGAAUAUGACGAAAGGUUUGGCGGUGAAGGAUGGGGAUGCGUCUGAUUAGCUUGUUGGUGAGGUAACGGCUCACCAAGGCGACGAUCAGUAGGGGUUCUGAGAGGAAGGUCCCCCACAUUGGAACUGAGACACGGUCCAAACUCCUACGGGAGGCAGCAGGGGGGAUAUUGGUCAAUGGGCGAGAGCCUGAACCAGCCAAGUAGCGUGCAGGAAGACGGCCCUAUGGGUUGUAAACUGCUUUUAUAUGGGGAUAAAGUGAGUUACGUGUAGCUUAUUGCAGGUACCAUAUGAAUAAGGACCGGCUAAUUCCGUGCCAGCAGCCGCGGUAAUACGGAAGGUCCAGGCGUUAUCCGGAUUUAUUGGGUUUAAAGGGAGCGUAGGCCGCCCCUUAAGCGUGUUGUGAAAUGCCGCGGCUCAACCGUGGCACUGCAGCGCGAACUGGGGGGCUUGAGUGCACGCAACGCAGGCGGAAUUCGUGGUGUAGCGGUGAAAUGCUUAGAUAUCACGAAGAACUCCGAUUGCGAAGGCAGCUUGCGGGAGUGCGACUGACGCUGAAGCUCGAAGGUGCGGGUAUCGAACAGGAUUAGAUACCCUGGUAGUCCGCACAGUAAACGAUGGAUGCCCGCUGUGUGCCCUAGUGGUACGCGGCCAAGCGAAAGCGUUAAGCAUCCCACCUGGGGAGUACGCCGGCAACGGUGCAACUCAAAUGAAUUGACGG